rnacentral:tRNA from 2 species
GGACGGUUGGCCGAGUCUGGUUUAUGGCACCGGUCUUGAAAACCGGCGUGGGGGAAACUCUACCGGGGGUUCGAAUCCCUCACCGUCCGC